rnacentral:rRNA from 1 species
GAUGAACGCUGGCGGCGUGCCUAAUACAUGCAAGUCGAGCGAACAGACGAGGAGCUUGCUCCUCUGACGUUAGCGGCGGACGUGUGAGUAACACGUGUAUAACCUACCUAUAAGACUGGGAUAACUUCGGGAAACCGGAGCUAAUACCGGAUAAUAUAUUGAACCGCAUGGUUCAAUAGUAAAAGACGGUUUUGCUGUCACUUAUAGAUGGAUCCGCGCCGCAUUAGCUAGUUGGUAAGGUAACGGCUUACCAAGGCAACGAUGCGUAGCCGACCUGAGAGGGGGAUAGGCCACACUGGAACUGAGACACGGUCCAGACGCCUACGGGAGGCAGCAGUAGGGAAUCUUCCGCAAUGGGCGAAAGCUUGACGGAGCAACGCCGAGUGAGUGAUGAAGGUCUUCGGAUCGUAAAACUCUGUUAUUAGGGAAAAACAAAUGUGUAAGUAAAUAUGCACGUCUUGACGGUAACUGAUAAGAAAGCCACGGCUAACUACGUG